rnacentral:tRNA from 1 species
UUAUAGUAAGAGGAAAAUCCGUCGACUUUAGAAAUCGUGAGGGUUCAAGU